rnacentral:tRNA from 1 species
GCACUCUGGUUGGCUGGGGCGUUUACAGCUGGUGGUUUGCACCCACCGGUGCGCCGAUCACGGGCAGCGAUUGGGUGCUGUUCCCACUCGGGUGGCC